rnacentral:ncRNA from 2 species
UAUCAUGAUUUUUUAAUGACUUAUAUAUGCUUCGAAUAUGGCGAAGUGUUUCUACCUAAAUCCGUAAAAUUUAGACUAUAAGUUAGAUUUUUUAUUUU